GAUGAACGCUGGCGGCGUGCCUAAUACAUGCAAGUCGAGCGAACGGACGAGAAGCUUGCUUCUCUGAUGUUAGCGGCGGACGGGUGAGUAACACGUGGAUAACCUACCUAUAAGACUGGGAUAACUUCGGGAAACCGGAGCUAAUACCGGAUAAUAUUUUGAACCGCAUGGUUCAAAAGUGAAAGACGGUCUUGCUGUCACUUAUAGAUGGAUCCGCGCUGCAUUAGCUAGUUGGUAAGGUAACGGCCUACCAAGGCAACGAUGCAUAGCCGACCUGAGAGGGUGAUCGGCCACACUGGAACUGAGACACGGUCCAGACUCCUACGGGAGGCAGCAGUAGGGAAUCUUCCGCAAUGGGCGAAAGCCUGACGGAGCAACGCCGCGUGAGUGAUGAAGGUCUUCGGAUCGUAAAACUCUGUUAUUAGGGAAGAACAUAUGUGUAAGUAACUGUGCACAUCUUGACGGUACCUAAUCAGAAAGCCCCGGCUAACUACGUG
rnacentral:rRNA from 1 species